rnacentral:rRNA from 1 species
AUGGCUCAGAUUGAACGCUGGCGGAAUGCUUUACACAUGCAAGUCGAACGGCAGCACGGGGCAACCUGGUGGCGAGUGGCGAACGGGUGAGUAAUACAUCGGAACGUGCCCAAUCGUGGGGGAUAACGUAGCGAAAGUUACGCUAAUACCGCAUACGAUCUACGGAUAAAAGCGGGGGAUCGCAAGACCUCGCGCGAAUGGAGCGGCCGAUGCCAGAUUAGGUAGUUGGUGGGGUAAAGGCUCACCAAGCCGACGAUCUGUAGCUGGUCUGAGAGGACGACCAGCCACACUGGGACUGAGACACGGCCCAGACUCCUACGGGAGGCAGCAGUGGGGAAUUUUGGACAAUGGGCGCAAGCCUGAUCCAGCCAUUCCGCGUGCAGGAUGAAGGCCUUCGGGUUGUAAACUGCUUUUGUACGGAACGAAACGGUUCUCUCUAAUACAGGGGGCUAAUGACGGUACCGUAAGAAUAAGCACCGGCUAACUACGUG